AGCUUUGCACAGUGGCAGUAUCGUAGCCAAUGAGAUUUAUCCAAGGCGCGAUUAUUGCUAAUUGAAAACUUUCCCCAAAAAUGAAUAAACUUAAAAAAUUUUUUUUAAUUUCGGCAUGACAAUCCAUCUUAUGGA
ensembl:snRNA U4 U4 spliceosomal RNA